CCUACGGGAGGCAGCAGUGAGGAAUAUUGGACAAUGGGCGCAAGCCUGAUCCAGCCAUGCCGCGUGCAGGAAGACGCAUCUAUGGUGUGUAAACUGCUUUUGUACAGGAAGAAACACUCCCUCGUGAGGGAGCUUGACGGUACUGUAAGAAUAAGGAUCGGCUAACUCCGUGCCAGCAGCCGCGGUAAUACGGAGGAUCCAAGCGUUAUCCGGAAUCAUUGGGUUUAAAGGGUCCGUAGGCGGUUUAAUAAGUCAGUGGUGAAAUCUGGUCGCUCAACGAUCAAACGGCCAUUGAUACUGUUAGACUUGAAUUAUAAGGAAGUAACUAGAAUAUGUAGUGUAGCGGUGAAAUGCUUAGAUAUUACAUGGAAUACCAAUUGCGAAGGCAGGUUACUACUUAUGGAUUGACGCUGAUGGACGAAAGCGUGGGGAGCGAACAGGAUUAGAUACCCUGGUAGUCCACGCCGUAAACGAUGGAUACUAGCUGUUGGGCGCAAGUUCAGUGGCUAAGCGAAAGUGAUAAGUAUCCCCACCGUCGGUAGGUACGUUCGUCGAGAAGAGAAACGUACGAAAGUAGUAAGUUAGUACGGACGUGAGACGUACGACCGACGGACGACGACGAGGGGAGGAGGG
rnacentral:rRNA from 1 species